ensembl:misc_RNA 7SK 7SK RNA
UGAAAAUCUGGCUGUGAUACCUGUCACUCAGUUGAUCACCAGCACUGAUUCAGUUUAUCGGACUGGGUAAGUGUUAUGUCUCCUUUCUGAUUUACUAGUCACUGUGCGUCUUUCCCAGUGCUACCACUUGCCAAAGAUGAUGACCUUCCCUAAUGCAGGAGGGUCAUCCUUUGGCAAGAGUACAAACGAUCGGUUAGUAAAAUUCAAGUAUAAAAUAAAUAAAAUAAGCAUUAAAUGAAUUGCAUGAAGAUUUUUCACACUUCUCUAAUUACUAG